UUUCCGUAGGUGAACCUGCGGAGGGAUCAUUACAGAGUUCAUGCCCUACCGGGUAGAUCUCCCACCCUAUGUUAUUAUUACUUUGUUGCUUUGGCGGGCCGUUAGGCUCCGGCCCGACUACCGGCCCCGGCUGGUAAGCGCCCGCCAGAGGACCCAAAACCCUGAAUAUUAGUGUCGUCUGAGUACUAUAUAAUAGUUAAAACUUUCAACAACGGAUCUCUUGGUUCUGACAUCGAUGAAGAACGCAGC
rnacentral:misc_RNA from 1 species